rnacentral:rRNA from 1 species
UGGGGAAUAUUGGACAAUGGGGGCAACCCUGAUCCAGCAAUGCCGCGUGUGUGAAGAAGGUCUUCGGAUUGUAAAGCACUUUCGACGGGGACGAUGAUGACGGUACCCGUAGAAGAAGCCCCGGCUAACUUCGUGCCAGCAGCCGCGGUAAUACGAAGGGGGCUAGCGUUGCUCGGAAUGACUGGGCGUAAAGGGCGUGUAGGCGGUUUACACAGUCAGAUGUGAAAUCCCCGGGCUUAACCUGGGAGCUGCAUUUGAUACGUGUAGACUAGAGUGUGAGAGAGGGUUGUGGAAUUCCCAGUGUAGAGGUGAAAUUCGUAGAUAUUGGGAAGAACACCGGUGGCGAAGGCGGCAACCUGGCUCAUGACUGACGCUGAGGCGCGAAAGCGUGGGGAGCAAACGAUGAUAGAUACCCUGGUAGUCCACGCUGUAAACGAUGUGUGCUAGAUGUUGGGUAACUUUGUUAUUCAGUGUCGCAGUUAACGCG